AGUGAACGCUGGCGGUAGGCCUAACACAUGCAAGUCGAACGGCAGCACAGGAGAGCUUGCUCUCUGGGUGGCGAGUGGCGGACGGGUGAGGAAUACAUCGGAAUCUACUCUGUCGUGGGGGAUAACGUAGGGAAACUUACGCUAAUACCGCAUACGACCUACGGGUGAAAGCAGGGGAUCUUCGGACCUUGCGCGAUUGAAUGAGCCGAUGUCGGAUCAGCUAGUUGGCGGGGUAAAGGCCCACCAAGGCGACGAUCCGUAGCUGGUCUGAGAGGAUGAUCAGCCACACUGGAACUGAGGCACGGUCCAGACUCCUACGGGAGGCAGCAGUGGGGAAUAUUGGACAAUGGGCGCAAGCCUGAUCCAGCCAUACCGCGUGGGUGAAGAAGGCCUUCGGGUUGUAAAGCCCUUUUGUUGGGAAAGAAAUCCAGCUGGCUAAUACCCGGUUGGGACGACGGUACCCAAAGAAUAAGCACCGGCUAACUUCGUGCCAGCAGCCGCCGUAA
rnacentral:rRNA from 1 species